UACAGAAACAAGCUUCAACUGUUUUAAGAUUAUUAUCUUCCAUCUAGUUUUAAAUGGAUUAGCAGCAAUGUAUCAAUGAAUCUUUUCCCCACAGCUCACAAACAAAAUUUAUCAAAGUAUGAUGCAAAAUUCAUGUGCAUGUCCCUCUGAGAAUGAUCUCGUGAGUUGCCUCCCACACUUGGAACAGCAGACAGGAGGAACAUAUAAAACACAUUUGUCCAGCAUGUGAGACUGUGCCAAAGGCGAGGCUCUGACAUGACAACAUUUACAUUUGUCUUCUUAGUGCUGUUCUCUUGGAUGGUGCCAUUUGGCACACAACUCUGCCUCAGCCCAUGUGCUGAGCUCCUUCUUUAUGGGCAUGAUGAAUGUACAAGAAGUUUCAGCUCAAAUGGAUCAUACAAACAAGCUCCUGUUUAUGGAAAAACAAAAAUGGCACUGAUAUGUGACAGCUGUGAGAAUUUAUUUCAGAGAUUGAAAAAUGCAAAGAAAGGGGAAAUCGGAUGUAUAUGUGUAUCCAGAUGUGACACUGACAAAUUGCCAGGAUGCUUUCCAUCUUUAAAGAUCAUUCUUGGUGGUGACAACACAGAUAUAAAAUCCAACGGGAUUUGUGAUUCAGAUAGACUCCUGCAUUCUUUCACUACUUUCAUCCCAUCCAAAAUCCAAGUGAGCCUCGUGUACUGGGAUGCAUCAAAGAGGGCUUACAACAGGA